UCUCAUACCACGAGUGGACACCUUAGCCUCCUGUUUACCAGAGCCAAAGAACCUCACGGAACUCCAAGAAACCUCAAGCCACGCCACGAGCCAACUCAGACAUCCAGCAACACCACGAGCCAUAGCAACUUCCAGCAACGUCGCCUGUCGCUCUCCAGCCCUCAACCACAUCAAGAUCUCAAGAAACUCUGAAUUGUAUUAAAACUAUUACUUACCAUCUACUUACCUGUUAUCCUUCCGGGUUCCAGCGCCAAAGGACAAAUACAGGCGCUGUUUUAUCGGUCUUCCUCUCACAAGGCUUUUAUCUGCAGCUGGGAGCCACUGUGGGAACGAGAACACCAGUUUGUGCACACACACUGGAAAAAGUGGAAAUCUCAACCAAGUUCCCUUCCAGAAAGGACUGUUUUUUUGUGCAGGCGCUGUUUAAUCUGUCUUUCUCUCACACGGCCUUUAUCUGCUGCUGGGAGCCACUGUGGGAACAAGAACACCAGUUUGUGCACACACACUGGAAAAAGUGGAAAUCUCAACCAAAUAAAUGGCUAUUAUUUCAACCUAAACCCAACAGAACCAGAAAACUCAAGGGGGCUCUAAGGUUUGGUUUAGGAAGAAGUCCUGAAAGAUUUCACAAUCAGGUGAGUCAAAACAUUCACAGCUUCUCUGCUGGGUUUUAAAGAAAAGUUUUUCAACCCUAAAACAUUAGCAAAUCUGACAAUAUCAAUAUUUCAGAUGAUGCUGUUCAUCUUUUAAAACCUUAAACUGUAUUUUAGCAGUUUUAACAACUGUAUGGACUUAAAGGUUUGACAGUUUGUGCAGGAAUGACCUCAAUAUGCAGGAAAAUUUAUUUAACCUGUGACUUUAGUGAAAGAAUUUAGAAAUUCUCUCCUCUGUAAAUCUAUCAAAGCUCUUAACUCCUUGUCAUUGAAGAUUUAGACGUCUAACUAUGUUAUGUUUCCGACUUUUUUAGUAAGAUAUUUUUAGUUUUUAAAGGAUUGGACACAAACUCACCUAAAAAGAGUUUAAUUAUAAACAAACGCUUCACAUGUUUCUGCCUGUAUGGUUUCUCAUCCUAAAGCUUUAAGUCUAAGAUAACCAACCAUGUCCAAACUCCAGCGCAUGGGCUAAGUGGGACAGAUAUUUUUUUCAUAUUAUUUCUGGUCUUCACAUACAAAAUUCCCAGUAAUUUGGGUAAAAAUAUAUUUAGAUGUACUUCUGUUAUGUGUGAAGAAAUUAAAAUAUCAUACAGCAAAAAACUUCAUUAAAAUGUUCCCACUUAUUGAAAUUCAUCAACAGAAACCGAAUAUUUUCCUAACCCACUUUCUCCCCUUUUUGGAGUCAUGGGGUUGCUGGAGUAAAUCCCAGCAACGGUUUGGCACGGCCACACAAUCACAGAAAAAACAAAAACACAUUUACACCAAGAGUCGAUUUUGAGUCAUCUGAAUGAUUUUGGAAUCCUGGUGCUUUGGGCGUGAAUCUGCCCACAUCAUCAAACUCCUACCACUGUGCUUGACUGUUUUUGGUCCUCAGCAAGAGCUUAGCUUUCUGGAAAAAUCUUUCCCUUUUAGUCUGGUUUUAUAGAAAAAUAAAUGAAUCAUUGCAUCAAAAACAAUCCUUGUAUUUUCAAGUUUGAAUAUAAAGUACUUUAAAUUUUACUUCCUUUCUUUUCACUAAUUUAGUGCACGUGACUUCAGCAUGAAGUGAGGCUUUUCCUGCACUAGAGGCAAAAACGCCAUCAAAGGUCUUUUUCAGAAUGACUCUCAGCUCAAAGAGCUGCUGCCUAUGACCAAAUCUGAAGAUGAAUUCUCAGAACAUUUAUUCAUAGGUUCACAUUUCCACAAGUUAUUACAUGCUCCUGUAAGGAAAAGAACAUUUACAGAGCAUUUUAGCCUUUGAGGGAACCCCCAAGGUGGAACUGAACAGCUGAGCUAAAGAAAACGUGACAGGACAAGAGAUGUUCGGUGAAGGCCAAAUGAGGAUGUGCAAUAAAAAAGAUCAAACUUCUGUUGAGGUGAAAAUGUUAAAUCAGAGCAACCUUUGAAAAAAAACAAACUACAAAAUAAAGUUUUGUUUCUGGUUCAAACCAGAAACCAGUA